rnacentral:sRNA from 1 species
CAUUCAUGCCCUACUCCUAGCAUGUGCUUGGUGCACAGCGAGCACUGUAGUAACUAUUGAUGUUGUUAACACAUUAUUUCCUUCCUAUUAUCCUUAAGAGGGAGUUCUUACCUUCUCAUCCCAUCUCUUUAGUUUUCUUAAUAUAACUCUAAAUUAAAAUAAAACUCUUCACUUUGUUAGGAAGAGGACCAUGACUUGCUUAGGCCCGACUAACAUUUGCACUCACCAUUUUGUUACACAGAUGGCAAACCAGGAAAACAGAGCUCAGUACAGAAGGGAGUUGGGCAGCCUCUGUUCCUGUUUGGCUCUGUCCUUGAAGAAAGUGAUAAGAAGUGCACAGAUUUUGGAAUUAAACAGACCAUGGUUUGAAGUCUGGAUCUUCCAGUUGUAACCAGGUGGCAUUGGGAGGCGGGGAGAGAAUGGAUCCCGGUCUGAGCUCCCCGCUUCCGUCCCCAGUCUCCAGAUACCGGUCCUCGCCUCUCCGCGCCGCGCGCUGCCUCUUCUCCCC